rnacentral:SRP_RNA from 1 species
CCAUACUCAGGCGGGGAGCUAGCGGUGCCCUGAACCUGAAAUCCGCUAUACGCAGGGCCAAAAGCCCUGAUUGAGGCUUUGAAUUGUUAUUAUGGGUCUCUGCGGAAUGCGAUGAAGGUUGGGUCCACCAGAAGGAUUUUUCUUGAACCCCGUCAGGUCCGGAAGGAAGCAGCGGUAAGAGAUAAAAUCCUUGUUGGUGGGGUGCCUGACUGGAGCAGGAAACAGAGAUACCGAUAACGAUGAGAAGUCGAAACAGGGUGUAUGG